GACGAACGCUGGCGGCGUGCCUAAUACAUGCAAGUAGAACGCUGAAGAGAGGAGCUUGCUCUUCUUGGAUGAGUUGCGAACGGGUGAGUAACGCGUAGGUAACCUGCCUUGUAGCGGGGGAUAACUAUUGGAAACGAUAGCUAAUACCGCAUAACAAUGGAUGACACAUGUCAUUUAUCUGAAAGGGGCAAUUGCUCCACUACAAGAUGGACCUGCGUUGUAUUAGCUAGUAGGUGAGGUAAUGGCUCACCUAGGCGACGAUACAUAGCCGACCUGAGAGGGUGAUCGGCCACACUGGGACUGAGACACGGCCCAGACGCCUACGGGAGGCAGCAGUAGGGAAUCUUCGGCAAGGGGGGCAACCCUGACCGAGCAACGCCGCGUGAGUGAAGAAGGUUGUCGGAUCGUAAAGCUCGGUUGUAAGUCAAGAACGGGUGUGAGAGUGGAAAGUUCACACUGUGACGGUAGCUGAACAGAAAGGGACGGCUAACUACGUG
rnacentral:rRNA from 1 species